GGACGAACGCUGGCGGCGUGCUUAACACAUGCAAGUCGAGCGGUAAGGCCCUUUCGGGGGUACACGAGCGGCGAACGGGUGAGUAACACGUGGGUGACCUGUCCCUCAGCUCUGGGGAUAAGCCCUGGGGAAACCGGGUCUAAUACUGGAUAUGACCUCCAUGACGCAUGUUGUGGGGUGAAAGCCUUGUGCGGCUGAGGAUGGGCCCGCGGCCUAAUCCAGCUUGUUGGUGGGGUGANGGCCUACCAAGGCGACGACGGGUAGCCGGCCUGAGAGGGCGACCGGCC
rnacentral:rRNA from 1 species